AUGGAGAGACAAGUCCAGAUCGUGAGCGUGUACUAUGGGGGCCAAUUGGCAAGAGGGCUUUCACCCCCGCCCCCACAGCGCAGGCAGCAGAAGGUCCCUGGAACGAGAGGCAGCGAGGGCUGUGAGGCCUGUUCUCGGGUGAUUGGGGGUAAUUUGGAGAGGAUGAAUUGUAGCUUUGUGUCGUGGGCCAACUCCAUGACAGGCACCUGUUGGACUGUCAAACUGAGCUGGGAGAGAGAGAGAGAGAGGAGGAAUGAGAAGGGGAAAAAGAGGGAGGGUGAGAGGGAGAGGGGGAAGACGAGAUAGAAAUGAAGCGAUAGAGAGAAAUAUAGGACAGAAUAGAGAGAGAGAGAGAGAGAGAGAGAGAGAGAGAGAGAGAGAGAGAGAGAAAAAGAGAGAGAGAGAGAUGUUCCAGCAGGCUAGUCAUGAACAAUGGAAAAGACAGCUGUCAUACAGAACUAGGAACCCUGGACAAAUGACCAGCCAUUCAGAUCAUUCUGGUGGGGUACACACACACAGGUGAGUACCAGUAGGAAGCCAAGGAGAUCCAGAGAGGGCACAUGACCCACCUGGGGCAGAGGACAAGUGUCCCACCUCCACCCCUUUUGCUCUGAAGCACCGGAGAGAGUCACAGGCCUGCAGCGACAAAGUUCCCAGGGGAGUUAACCCCAAUAAUGCACAGAGACCAUAUUGAUGUUCCAUAUUUCAAUGCAAGCAUCUCUUGAUAUAAGAGCCUAUCUGAACCCCUCUCCUCCCUCUCCAACCAUUCACCAGGCUUCAGUCUAACAGAUGGUCUCACGCACAACAAGUUAACAGAACGGAAUUAGUACCCAAACAGCAGCUAACCAGUAUAACUCAUCUUAUUGACUGGAUUUUUUGAAUGGUCUUUCCUUCAAGUUCUAAUUCCUAAAUGACCAAUUUACUGAUGAUUAUUCCGUAUCCAUGACUAAAGACUGUUGCUGUGGUCAAAUGUAUCCCCUGAAACUAGUCUAGGUGCAUUUCUCUCCUUUCUCCACUAUAUUAACCAGUAUGUCUCUAAGGAGCCUGGAAUCGUCCUCCAUGACCAGUCGUUUUAUCAGUCAGGUUUUGUCUCCUCUCUGUUUCUGCACUUGUCUAUACUGAUUGCGUAACUCCUCACACCCGCUGGUUGGUUGCCUGCAGUCUCGCGGUUUUAAUUAUAAUUGCCAUCUCAGCCAAUUAUGCAUUAAUAAUCAGCAAAUUAGCCAUGAUUAAUCGGCAUUAGGUGAAUGAUUAUGGAACUAAAGAUAGAUAAUCAGCUGGCGGGGCUGGAAAUACAGGGUUUAACACAGUAGGAGGCUUCAUCUGGUGGAAACAGACAUUCUCUUGGUUGUCUUCCUCACUCAGCACGGCUAUAUUCUGUGUGUGUGUGUGUGUGUGUGUGUGUGUGUGUGUGUGUGUGUGUGUGUGUGUGUGUGUGUGUGUGUGUGUGUGUGUGUGUGUGUGUGUGUGUGAGAGAGAGAGAGGGAAUUGUAUAUAAUCCAUGCUAGCUUUACAACCCUGAGUGAUGGGUAGUCUAUUGUUACACACACUGAACAGCGACAUGGGUUAAUACUAUGUUAACACAGCCA
rnacentral:lncRNA from 13 species